CGAGUGGCGGACGGGUGAGUAAUGUCUGGGAAACUGCCUGAUGAGGGGGGAGUAACUACUGGAAACGGUAGCUAAUACCGCAUAACGUCGCAAGACCAAANAGGGGGACCUUCGGGCCUCUUGCCAUCGGAUGUGCCCAGAUGGGAUUAGCUAGUAGGUGGGGUAACGGCUCACCUAGGCGACGAUCCCUAGCUGGUCUGAGAGGAUGACCAGCCACAUUGGAACUGAGACACGGUCCAAACUCCUACGGGAGGCAGCAUG
rnacentral:rRNA from 1 species